rnacentral:pre_miRNA from 1 species
AAGGCUACCGAGCGUCGGUCUACCGAGCAAUAUCACCCGCUCGGUAGAAGAUCUUCCCUCUGUCGU